rnacentral:lncRNA from 1 species
GUGCAAAGGAAACACAGGGUAAACUAGCCGUUGCUGAAGCCAGAGCUCAGGAAGAAGAGCAGAAGGCAGCUAGGCUAGAAAAAGAACUGCAAACACAGACCACAGAGUUUCAGCAAAACCAAGACAAAAUUAUGGCAAAGCUCACCAACGAGGACAGUCAAAACCGCCAACUCCGACAGAAGCUGGCAGCACUCAGCCGGCAAAUUGAUGAGUUAGAAGAGACCAACAGGUCUUUACGAAAAGCCGAGGAAGAGCUGCAAGAUAUAAAAGAAAAAAUAAACAA